rnacentral:tRNA from 1 species
UGUGACAGAAUAGUGUGAUAAAUUUAAGAUUUAUAAAUAAAGUUUAUCUUUCUUUAGAA